AGCGAACGCUGGCGGCAGGCUUAACACAUGCAAGUCGAGCGGACCUUUCGGGGUCAGCGGCGGACGGGUGAGUAACGCGUGGGAACGUGCCUUCCGGUUCGGAAUAACCCUGGGAAACUAGGGCUAAUACCGGAUACGCCCUUAUGGGGAAAGGUUUACUGCCGGAAGAUCGGCCCGCGUCUGAUUAGCUAGUUGGUGGGGUAACGGCCUACCAAGGCGACGAUCAGUAGCUGGUCUGAGAGGAUGAUCAGCCACACUGGGACUGAGACACGGCCCAGACUCCUACGGGAAGCAGCAGUGGGGAAUAUUAGACAAUGGGCGCAAGCCUGAUCCAGCCAUGCCGCGUGAGUGAUGAAGGCCUUAGGGUUGUAAAGCUCUUUUAUCCGGGACGAUAAUGACGGUACCGGAGGAAUAAGCCCCGGCUAACUUCGUG
rnacentral:rRNA from 1 species